rnacentral:rRNA from 1 species
ACUGCUCAGUAACACGUGGAUAACCUGCCCUUGGGUCCGGCAUAACCCCGGGAAACUGGGGAUAAUUCCGGAUAACGCAUAUAUGCUGGAAUGCUUUAUGCGUAAAAUGGAUUCGUCUGCCCAAGGAUGGGUCUGCGGCCUAUCAGGUAGUAGUGGGUGUAAUGUACCUACUAGCCAACAACGGGUACGGGUUGUGAGAGCAAGAGCCCGGAGAUGGAUUCUGAGACAUGAAUCCAGGCCCUACGGGGCGCAGCAGGCGCGAAAACUUUACAAUGCGGGAAACCGUGAUAAGGGGACACCGAGUGCUAGCAUCAUAUGCUGGCUGUCCAGGUGUGUAAAAUACACCUGUUAGCAAGGGCCGGGCAAGACCGGUGCCAGCCGCCGCGGUAACACCGGCGGCCCGAGUGGUGAUCGUGAUUAUUGGGUCUAAAGGGUCCGUAGCCGGUUUGGUCAGUCCUCCGGGAAAUCUGACGGCUUAACCGUUAGGCUUUCGGGGGAUACUGCCAGGCUUGGAACCGGGAGAGGUAAGAGGUACUACAGGGGUAGGAGUGAAAUCUUGUAAUCCCUGUGGGACCACCUGUGGCGAAGGCGUCUUACCAGAACGGGUUCGACGGUGAGGGACGAAAGCUGGGGGCACGAACCGGAUUAGAUACCCGGGUAGUCCCAGCCGUAAACGAUACUCGCUAGGUGUCGGCCACGGUGCGACCGUGGUCGGUGCCGUAGGGAAGCCGUGAAGCGAGCCACCUGGGAAGUACGGCCGCAAGGCUGAAACUUAAAGGAAUUGGCGGGGGAGCAC